rnacentral:tmRNA from 1 species
GGGGGCGAAAUGGUUUCGACGGGGAUAGGGAUGGUGUUUCGGCACGCCGAGGUUAUCGGUCACCUCGUUAAUCAACCGGUACACACAAAGAAAUGCAGACUACAAUUAUGCAUUGGCUGCCUAAGUAAUUAGGCAACCCGCCUGCUUCCGGCGUACCCGUAGCUGGUUGAAGUGGCGUCGAUUAACGGGAUAAGCUUGCGGUCUUCCCCGAAUCGCAGGUCGAAAAUUAAGGGGAUGGCGGUAGCGAAAGCUUGCCGGUCGGCGUUUGUUAUCGCGAGAUUAAAUGACAGGAUAAGCGUGUAGAAGAAGCACAUGAAUUAUCUUCGGACGGGGGUUCGAUUCCCCCCGCCUCCACCA